rnacentral:rRNA from 1 species
GAGGAUUGUGACUGAGCGGCGGACGGGUGAGUAACGCGUGGGUAACCUGCCUCAUACAGGGGGAUAACAGUUAGAAAUGACUGCUAAUACCGCAUAAGACCACAGCACCGCAUGGUGCGGGGGUAAAAACUCCGGUGGUAUGAGAUGGACCCGCGUCUGAUUAGCUAGUUGGUAAGGUAACGGCUUACCAAGGCGACGAUCAGUAGCCGACCUGAGAGGGUGACCGGCCACAUUGGGACUGAGACACGGCCCAAACUCCUACGGGAGGCAGCAGUGGGGAAUAUUGCACAAUGGGGGAAACCCUGAUGCAGCGACGCCGCGUGAGCGAAGAAGUAUUUCGGUAUGUAAAGCUCUAUCAGCAGGGAAGAAAAUGACGGUACCUGACUAAGAAGCACCGGCUAAAUACGUGCCAGCAGCCGCGGUAAUACGUAUGGUGCAAGCGUUAUCCGGAUUUACUGGGUGUAAAGGGAGCGUAGACGGAUGGGCAAGUCUGAUGUGAAAACCCGGGGCUCAACCCCGGGACUGCAUUGGAAACUGUUCAUCUAGAGUGCUGGAGAGGUAAGUGGAAUUCCUAGUGUAGCGGUGAAAUGCGUAGAUAUUAGGAGGAACACCAGUGGCGAAGGCGGCUUACUGGACAG